GUCCACACAGUAAACGAUGAAUACUCGCUGUUUGCGAUAUACAGUAAGCGGCCAAGCGAAAGCAUUAAGUAUUCCACCUGGGGAGUACGCCGGCAACGGUGAAACUCAAAGGAAUUGACGGGGGGCCCGCACAAGCGGAGGAACAUGUGGUUUAAUUCGAUGAUACGCGAGGAACCUUACCCAGGCUUAAAUUGCAGAUGAAUAUAGUGGAAACAUUAUAGCCAGCAAUGGCAUCUGUGAAGGUGCUGCAUGGUUGUCGU
rnacentral:rRNA from 1 species